CAGCCGCCGCGGUAAAACCAGCACCUCAAGUGGUCAGGAUGAUUAUUGGGCCUAAAGCAUCCGUAGCCGGCUCUGUAAGUUUUCGGUUAAAUCUGUACGCUUAACGUACAGGCUGCCGGGAAUACUGCAAAGCUAGGGAGUGGGAGAAGUAGACGGUACUCGGUAGGAAGUGGUAAAAUGCUUUGAUCUAUCGAUGACCACCUGUGGCGAAGGCGGUCUACUAGAACACGUCCGACGGUGUGGGAUGAAAGCUGGGGGAACAAACCGGAUUAGAUACCCGGGUAGUCCCAGCUGUAAACUAUGCAAACUCAGUGAUGCAUUGGCUUGUGGCCAAUGCAGUGCUGCAGGGAAGCCGUUAAGUUUGCCGCCUGGGAAGUACGUACGCAAGUAUGAAACUUAAAGGAAUUGGCGGGGGAGCAC
rnacentral:rRNA from 1 species